rnacentral:lncRNA from 1 species
CAGGAACACAUGAACCAUUAAGUAACAAUGAUAUAGGUUUCUAUUGUAAAGCCAAUCUGAAAUCAUGGCUUCUCUUUCUGAAGAAGAGGAGAAUUAUGUCCGGUUAGCGUUAUUAUUGAAAGGAGUGACACCUAGAGCAGUCCGUACUUAUUUUGACAGAGAAUUUCCACCUACCUCUCUACCCUCAACACUAAGUACAAGUCACAACACUCUUUUGGACUUAAAAGUAAACAGAAUCAUAAACCAGACUCAGUGGAAACUUUUGAUUCCAAGAAAUGGUAGGUCUUUAUGUGACUGCAGAAAUUUUGUUAAUUAAGAUUUCAUUAACAUGUGGUUAACAAUUUUUUUCUUCUGGUGAUGGCUACUAAACAAAAAAAAAUCUUAUUUAUGAAAUAACAUCUUCAAUAUUCUUUUUGUCGAGCCUUCGACUUUAGUCGAAAAAGCGAGACUAAGCAAGCCUACAUUCCGUCGUCGUCGGCGGCGGCCGUCAACAAAUAUUUCACUCUGUGGUUAAGUUUUUUGAAAUUUUAAUAACUUUCUUAAACUAUACUGGAUUUCCACCAAACUUUGACAGAAGCUUGUUUAUGAUCAUAAGAUAGUAUCCAGAAGUAAAUUUUGUAAAAAUAAAAAUUCCAUUUUUUCCGUGUUUUAUUAUAAAUGGACUUAGUUUUUUCUGCGGGGAAACAAAACAUUCACUCUGUGGUUAAAAUUUUUAGAAUUUUAAUAACUUUCUCUAACUAUACUGGGUUUGUACCAAACUUGGACAGAAGCUUGUUUAUGAUCAUAAGAUAGUAUCCAGUAGUAAAUUUUGUAAAAAGAUUACUCCGUUUUUUCUGUAAUUUACUUUUAAAUGGACUUAUACAAUAGGCGAGACACUGGGUUCCGCGGAACCCUUACAAAUUUUUUUACAUACUUGUAACUUAGUUGUUGGUUAAUUAAGUUCACAUUUAAAGAUCUAAUUACAGAGUUGAAUUGGUAACUUAAAGUUUAUUUUCCUUUUUUGUCAUAAUUCCAUAAGAUUUUAUUUUGAACCAUUUUGGAUAAACUGUUUCAUUCUUAAAUACUUAACAGUCCCGUUCUAAUGAUAAAGACUUUAAAUAUAAAAUAAAUUACCACGAACAAUUUGAAAUGUUUUUGUUUCAUAGGUUGUACGAAAAUUGUUCAUCCAUUUAGAUAUCAAAAGUGGGGUUAACUGGCAAAAAAGACGAAACCAUUAUCUCGUCUUUCACAUUGGAUGGGUAUGCUUCCCGAGUGGUAUUUAAAACUGUAUUUUGUGUGCACAAUGUUUAUUUUUCGCUCAUCCUGUAAUGAUUAUACAAUACAAUACAAUACAAAGUUUUUUAUUGUCAAUUUAUGACGCCCAAUAAUUUGAGCAGUACAAUUAAGUUCAAUUUCAUACAAGUGAUUACAUAUUGAUUACAUUGAUUAUUUAACAAUUAAACAAAUUAUGUCCUGAUUGUAAAUGAGCAUAAUCCCCUCCCCUUUUACAAACUUAUAUGAGGAUGACAUGCCUUGUAUGUUUAAAACAUCUGAGAAUAAAUGAUUGUCCCCAUAACAUAAAGAAUGAUGACAAAAAUGGGAGAGCAUAAAUAAUUGUAAUAAAGCUGAAGUACACUAAUUCUAUACAUAUUUAUGUCUUAUAAAAAAAAAAUCCUAUACUGACUGACUCGAAUCUUUCACACACAAAUUCUGUAAACAGGCUACAACUUAAAAACCUUGUCCUCUUAUACAUGUAAAUGAAAUUAUUGAUUAUUUCAAAGAUAUAAUAAUUUUUGCAGUAUUUUUAAAGUAAUAUUUUAUCUGUAAUUAGUUUUACGUAAUAUUUAAAAUGGUGAGUGAAAUACUCCAGCAUAACACCUUUUAACACUGAUUUUAGGAUUAUAAGUGAUACAUUUCUGUUGCUUUUGAUGUUACAGGGGUUCCGGAUUCCAAAACAUUUGAUGUAACGUUGAUGAUCUGUUUGAUCAGAAACUUAACAUCUAUCAAUCCUUCCAGUCAUGGGAUUUGACAGCCUUCCACUACCAGGGGAAAUAACUCCAGGAUCUGAUCUAGCCAGGAUUAAAUGUUACAGGAAUAAACUAGCUCAUCAUGAUAGUAAUACAAUAGAUACUGCUUAUUUCAAUACAGCAUGGAGAGAUAUAUCAGAGGUAACUGUGGAUCUACAAUAUUGAUACUUUCAUUUAUAUUUGACAUGUUGGACAUUUUUAGAACAUUUCAGUGUUUUUUUACGACUGUAAAAAUUAUUUGUUAUCAUAUUCUCUUGACCAUACUGUAACUGUC